rnacentral:rRNA from 1 species
AAUAUUGGACAAUGGGCGCAAGCCUGAUCCAGCCAUGUCGCGUGAGUGAAGAAGGCCUUCGGGUUGUAAAGCUCUUUCUGCCGGCAAGAAAUCGCGCAGGCUAAUACCCUGCGCGGAUGCCGUUACCGACAUCAGAAGCACCGGCAAACGACGUGCCAUCAGCCGCGGUAAUACGCACGGUGAGAGCCUUAAUCGGAAUUCAUGGGCGUAAAACGUGCGCAGGCGGGUGAUUAAGACAGGCGUGUAAACCCCGGGCUUAACCUGGGAACUGCGCUUGUGACUGGUGAGCGAGAGUACGGCAGAGGGGGGUGAAAUUCCACGUGUAGCAGUGAAAUGCGUAGAGAUGUGGAGGAACACCGAUGGCGAAGGCAGCCCCCUGGGCCGAUACUGACGCUCAUGCACGAAAGCGUGGGUAGCAAACAGG